UCAUUCGGAUCGGAGUCUGCAACCCGACUCCGUGAAGCUGGAUUCGCUAGUAAUCGCGCAUCAGCCAUGGCGCGGUGAAUACGUUCCCGGGCCUUGUACACACCGCCCGUCAAGCCAUGGGAGCCGGGGGUGCUUGAAGUGCGUCGCCGCAAGGCGCGCCCUAGAGCAAAACCGGUGACUGGGGCUAAGUCGUAACAAGGUAAC
rnacentral:rRNA from 1 species